AUGCAAAUGAGGGAGACAAUUUCCUCUUUAAAGCUGAGCCUCUCUGUGUCCAGGCUGCACCCGGAGACACAAUCCGCAGCCCCUCGGUCGGUGCAGUCACCAGCCAGUCCCCGGAGAACUUUCCUCUCCAACCCCAAGGAAAAUGGGAUUUUUGCUCCUUGUAAUUGUCGCUGUCGCAGCUUUGGAAGGUGUCCGGUCCCAGACGCUGGUGGUGUCCGGUCCCAGACGCUUGUGGAGUCCGGAGGGGGUGUGAAGAAGCCCGGAGACUCUCUGCGCCUCUCCUGCAAAGCCUCCGGCUUCACCUUCAGCAGCUACGGGAUGGGCUGGGUCCGCCAGGCUCCCGGGAAGGGGCUGGAAUGGGUCGCUGCUAUAAACACCGGUGGGAGUAGUACAUACUACCUCGAUUCAGUGAAAGGGCGAUUCACCAUCUCCAGGGAUAACUCCAAGAGUGAGCUGUAUCUGCAAAUGACCGGCCUGAAGCCCGACGACACCGCCCGCUAUUACUGCGCGAGAGACACAGAACCCGGUGGGAUUUCAUGGGGUCUCUCAGGGGGAGGCGGCUGCUGAGGGAGAAGUUGAGGC